rfam:Nicotiana attenuata strain TT chromosome 8, whole genome shotgun sequence.
GUUUCAUAUAGUGUAUAGGAAUGUAAAAAUCUCGGCAAUAAUGUGGUGGAAUGUUGGGCAUGUCCAAAAGGCAGGACUUGGGUAGCUAAUUUCUGGCCUGCCCUCUCCAAGCUCAGAGAUGAGUCACGUAGUCCAUGCGAAGGCUCCUGUUUCACAGAGCAACGAGUAGCUCCCGCUUUGUGCAGUGGAAGGAUAACGGGCCGGUGCUAUUCAGGCCCAACAAAUGCCUGAUCGGCUGCUCUCAUCAGACCACCACUUUU